CCGAAGGAGAGAGUCUCCGGCACCGCCUCGAGCUUGGACGCCGCUGCAGCGCGGUCUAGCCGAAGCCGGUGCUUGGGCAGGCACGGCAUCCCAGCUCGGACGCAGCAUGGGCCGUGGCGGCUUGGAGCGGCGGGCAGGCAAGGCCACGGGGGCGCGUCGCGGUGGGUCGAUCCCGGCUGUGGCGAGGGAGCGGCGCGGCAACAUGCUCCCGAUCGAGCUCGAGCUCCAGCACGAUCUUGAGCUCAAGCACAACGACGAGCCCCGGCCAGCACGCCGGAUAUGCUGUUGAAUGGUAGGCGCUGAGGGCUUGCAGACUAGCACUCGUCCACCUAGAGUGAGUCCCAUGUGCCCUCUCUCUUUUAUUGUUUGGAAUUAGAGAGAUCAAUGGUAGUGGUCCAUUCAUAAUUUAUAGUGUGCUUCUAGAAACAAGUUGUUCUACAUUGGAUUGCAGAUUGGGAUUAACUGAUUUCUUGGAUGGAUAAUAAUACAAUGUCCUUUUUCUAUAAAAAAUGUGGCUGUCAUGAAAGAUGGCACUGACACAACCAUGGCAGGGGCCUUGGAUAGAAUCUAACGCCAUGAGCUACUUAUGUUAGACAGAUAAACUAAGUUCUUGAUUUUUUUUAAAUUUUAUUUGGGCAUCUGCAGAGAAUAUCACCAUUGGAAAUUUUGGAGCUACAUCUAAGAUUGCUAUACUAAAUGACGCUACGUUUCUUAAUGCGCAGAACACAUUGCCUACAAAUGGUGUUGUGUGAUACUCUCCAAAACCAACCUGGCUUGUGUGGCAUUGUUUGCCCCUGUAUUGAGACAAGAUUUUGGCUUCCAUUGCACAUGCCACUGGUGGUUCUUCUACAAAGACACAGACAAGCGCUACAAAGAAGAGGUCUCGCCCAUCUCCUAAUAAAAAGGUUGCUAAAAAACUUUUCACUGCUGAGCAAGCUGGAGAUGACAGUGGCAGCGGUAACGAUGGUGCAGAUGCUCCUGAUUAGACCAGCUCAAAUUAGGAUGCAUGAGCAGUCGAGCUCGUGCUCAUUUUGCCUCCACCAGUUGCGGCCACUUUUGUGUUUUUGUGCUUCGUCCAUGGACCUGCAGGCUGUGUAGCAUCAUUGUCAGCCAUUGAUUUCAAUGCAGCUACGUAGUUUGGUAGCUAUGGAUACUGGUUGAAACAUGUAGAUUCAUGGUGCUUGGAUGUACUGCAAUAUCGUAGUGUUUCAAAUGCCGGUCACAAACUUCUAAUCGAUAGGAUAGUCAUGGUGCUCGGAUGUAUUGUAACAUUGAUGAUCUAGAUGCCGAACAGAUACCUCUUGGAUGUGCUGUAACGUGAUGAUCAGAAUACCAGACAGACAAUAUGCUGUAACGUUGAUGGUUUGUUAUUUUA